rnacentral:tRNA from 1 species
CGGCAGAUGCCCGAAGGGUUGUGGGAUGAAGUUCUGGAGGGACUACGGGAUAUCGAAGAACAACUCGGGCGCCGGUUCGGCGAUCCAGCUCAGCCGU